rnacentral:lncRNA from 1 species
GUCAAAUAAACAUCGAAAAAUCAAUGUUUGCUACCUGAAUUUUCACAUGUACCUUUUCUGAUAUAUAGUCUUACCUAUCUGAAAGUUUCAAAGCCAUUGUCCCAGUAGAAAUCUAAAUAUAUUCAUUUUCUCCAUGUCGGAUAUUUUUAUUGACUGUACAAUCGCUUGCAAGUUUACUGUAAUAUCACUCGGAGCCUUCCUGUACAAUCGCUUGGAGCUUUUCUUUUCAUCGUUUGGCCAACUAGACUACUCCGAAAGGAGGGUAACCUACUUUACCUUGUUAUGACUUCACGGUCCAGCUAGCAAGCAAGCUAGUCAAAGGUAUUACUUUUUCCUACACACUCAUUGCAUUUUGCUGUAAUAGUUUCUAGUGGCAUAUGACUAAUUAUAACUCUUAAGUAGAUAAUGCUUACUACUAUCUCUUCUGCCACAUUCAUGAUCAGUUUAUGUUUUCCA